rnacentral:tRNA from 1 species
GCCGGGGUGGCGAAAUGGUAAACGCAGGGGACUUAAAAUCCCCCGGGGGCAACCCCUUAUGAGUUCGAGUCUCAUCCCCGGCA